GGGAUUCGCAGUCGCGAGAGUGAGAGAAGGCCGGUCACUCACUGUCAAGCAGUUUCAAAAACUGCUGGGUCUGAUGGCAGCUGCGUCCAACGUAAUACUUAUUGGCCUGCUGUACAUGAGACCCCUACAGUGGUGGCUCAAGACCAAGGGGUUCUCCCCGAGGGGAAACCCACUUCGCGUGAUCAAGGACACGCGGCGCUGCCUACGUGCCUUGGACAUGUGGAGGAAGCCUUGGUUCUUGUCUCAGGGCCCGGUGCUGGGAGCUCCUUGUCAUUGCGUAACACUAGCAACGGACGUGUCCCUCACCGGCUGGGGUGCGGUCAUGAGUGGCCACCCUGGCCACGGUCUGUGGAGUGGUCGCCAUCUGACACGGCACAUAAACUGCUUGGAGAUGCUUCAAGCACUACAACAUUUUCUCCCAGACCUAAGAGGUCACCAUGUGUUGGUGCACACCGAUAACACAGCGGUGGUCUCGUACAUCAACCACCAAGGAGGUCUGCGCUCACGCCAUUUGUACAAACUAGCGUACCAGACCCUUGUGUGGUCCCAGGACGAAUUCCUCUCGCUGAGAGCAGUUCACAUUCUUGGGCACCUCAAUUUGGGGGCAGACAUCCUGUCGAGGCAGGGGCCGAAGCCUGGGGAAUGGCGGCUUCACACCGAGGUGGUGAAACAGAUUUGGAGAGUUUUUGGCCAGGCUCAGGUGGACCUGUUUGCGACUCAUCAGACAUCGCACUGUCCCCUCUGGUUCUCUCUGACUCAUCCAGCUCCACUGGGGCUGGACGCCAUGAUAAAGACGUGGCCGAGGCUUCGUCUGUAUGCCUUUACCCAGAUCGCUCUGCUCCCGGGAGUUCUGGCGAGAGUGUGCCAGGACGUGGUCUGGCUGCUACUGGUAGCCCCGUUCUGGCCGGGCCGAGUAUGGUUCUCGGCCUUGAUUUCCCUCCUCGACAGCUCUCCAUGGGAGAUUUCCAUCAGGAGGGAUCUCCUCUCCCGGGCAGAGGGCACUAUAGUCCAUCCCUG
ensembl:lncRNA